UACGGAGGGGGCUAGCGUUGUUCGGAAUUACUGGGCGUAAAGCGCGCGUAGGCGGACCGUUAAGUCGGGGGUGAAAUCCCGGGGCUCAACCCCGGAACUGCCUUCGAUACUGGCGGUCUAGAGGAAGGCAGAGGCUAGUGGAAUGGCGAGUGUAGAGGUGAAAUUCGUAGAUAUUCGCCGGAACACCAGUGGCGAAGGCGACUGGCUGGGCCUUUUCUGACGCUGAGGUGCGAAAGCGUGGGGAGCAAACAGG
rnacentral:rRNA from 1 species